GGAGAUGGGCUGUAGCUCCUUGGUAGAGCAUCUGCUUUGCACGCAGAAGGUCCAGGUUCAACCCCCAGCAUCUCCA